AUCUAUUCUUGAAUAUCCUCAAGUAAACAUAAGAGUUAGAAAAUAAAUAUUUUAUAUUUAUUUAUAUUGCGAUGGCGUCUUUCGUGUUACCUAUGUUUUUGUGUGUACUUGUCUUAAGUAUUGCUUCUGCUGUACCGGCUGAUCAGAAACCUCUUGAUUGCCCGCAAAAUGAAGAAUACUAUAGAUGUUCACCGGCUAAGUGUUACAAGGUCUGCAGCGAUUUGAAAAACCCUCCAGGCUGUCCUGGCUUAUCUGGUGAUUGCUACCAACCUUCUUGCGAGUGUAUCUCUGAUUACCUGAGGAACUCUGAAGGAAAAUGUGUCCCUUGGCAAGAAUGCUAGUUUUUGUUCGUGAGGACAUCCAAGGACCAGACAUUGGGCAGUAACAUUUUGAUGUUGGAAAUAAAAACAUUAUUAAAAAUUA
rnacentral:misc_RNA from 1 species